CCUACGGGAGGCAGCAGUGGGGAAUAUUGCACAAUGGGCGCAAGCCUGAUGCAGCCAUGCCGCGUGUGUGAAGAAGGCCUUCGGGUUGUAAAGCACCUUCAGCGGGGAGGAAGGCGUUAAGGUUAAUAACCUUGGCGAUUGACGUUACCCGCCGAAGAAGCACCGGCUAACUCCGUGCCAGCAGCCGCGGUAAUACGGAGGGUGCAAGCGUUAAUCGGAAUUACUGGGCGUAAAGCGCACGCAGGCGGUCUGUCAAGUCGGAUGUGAAAUCCCCGGGCUCAACCUGGGAACUGCAUUCGAAACUGGCAGGCUAGAGUCUUGUAGAGGGGGGUAGAAUUCCAGGUGUAGCGGUGAAAUGCGUAGAGAUCUGGAGGAAUACCGGUGGCGAAGGCGGCCCCCUGGACAAAGACUGACGCUCAGGUGCGAAAGCGUGGGGAGCAAACAGGAUUAGAUACCCUAGUAGUC
rnacentral:rRNA from 1 species